rnacentral:ncRNA from 1 species
UGUGCGUGUAUGGGUGAGGAAGCAUGGAAAGCUGUUUACGCAACGGCGACCUUGACAAUAAAUCUUGUCCCUAUCUACUAUCUAGCGAAACCACUGCCAAGGGAACGGGCUUGGAAAAAUUAGCGGGGAAAGAAGACUUUGUUGAGCUUGACUCAAGCCUGACACUGUAAGGAGACAUGGAAGGUGCAGCAUAAGUGGGAGAUGGCAACAUUGCCGGUGAAAUACCACUACUUUCAUCGUUUCCUUACUUACUCGGUUGGGCGGAGUGCGUGUCCCAAGGGCCUCGUACCCCGGCGGUCACGGUGUUCUAGAGCCAAGCGUGUCAGAGUAGCGAGGGCUUCGGCCGAUCGCCGUUAAUACUCCCUCGUGAUCCGAUUUGAGGACGCUGCCAGGCGGGGAGUUUGAGUGGGGCAGUACAUCUGUCAAAAAAUAACGCAGGCCUAAGGCCAGAUUAGCGAGGACAGAAACCUCGCGUAGGGCAAAAGGGCAAAAACUGGCUUGAUCUCGAUGUACGCAUAGAGACUGCGAAAGCACGGCAUAU